GGUUUGUGGCUCAGUGGUAGAGUGCUCACCUAGCAUGUAUGAGGCACUGGGUUCAAUCCUCAGCACCA
rnacentral:tRNA from 1 species